rnacentral:rRNA from 1 species
GACGAACGCUGGCGGCGUGCUUAACACAUGCAAGUCGAACGGAAAGGCCCUGCUUUUGUGGGGUGCUCGAGUGGCGAACGGGUGAGUAACACGUGAGUAAUCUGCCCUUGACUUUGGGAUAACUUCAGGAAACUGGGGCUAAUACCGGAUAGGAGCUCCUGCUGCAUGGUGGGGGUUGGAAAGUUUCGGCGGUUGGGGAUGUACUCGCGGCUUAUCAGCUUGUUGGUGGGGUAGUGGCUUACCAAGGCUUUGACGGGUAGCCGGCCUGAGAGGGUGACCGGCCACAUUGGGACUGAGAUACGGCCCAGACUCCUACGGGAGGCAGCAGUGGGGAAUAUUGCACAAUGGGCGGAAGCCUGAUGCAGCAACGCCGCGUGCGGGAUGACGGCCUUCGGGUUGUAAACCGCUUUCGCCUGUGACGAAGCGUGAGUGACGGUAAUGGGUAAAGAAGCACCGGCUAACUACGUG